UGUUGUGGGGAUCGCCACCAGUCAGCGCGGAUGCGCCCACUGGUGUGCUUGUC
rnacentral:sRNA from 1 species